rnacentral:rRNA from 1 species
AACGCGUGAGAAUCUGCCAUCAGGUCUGGGACAACCACUGGAAACGGUGGCUAAUACCGGAUGUGCCCUUCGGGGUGAAAGGUUAACUGCCUGUUGAUGAGCUCGCGUCUGAUUAGCUAGUUGGUGUGGUAAGAGCGCACCAAGGCGACGAUCAGUAGCUGGUCUGAGAGGACGAUCAGCCACACUGGGACUGAGACACGGCCCAGACUCCUACGGGAGGCAGCAGUGGGGAAUUUUCCGCAAUGGGCGAAAGCCUGACGGAGCAAUACCGCGUGAGGGAGGAAGGCUCUUGGGUCGUAAACCUCUUUUCUCAGGGAAGAACACAAUGACGGUACCUGAGGAAUAAGCAUCGGCUAACUCCGUGCCAGCAGCCGCGGUAAUACGGAGGAUGCAAGCGUUAUCCGGAAUGAUUGGGCGUAAAGCGUCCGCAGGUGGCAAUGUAAGUCUGCUGUUAAAGAGUCUAGCUCAACUAGAUAAGAGCAGUGGAAACUACAUCGCUAGAGUGCGUUCGGGGCAGAGGGAAUUCCUGGUGUAGCGGUGAAAUGCGUAGAGAUCAGGAAGAACACCGGUGGCGAAGGCGCUCUGCUAGGCCGCAACUGACACUGAGGGACGAAAGCUAGGGGAGCGAAUGGGAUUAGAU